rnacentral:tRNA from 1 species
CUCACUGUAGCUCAGUUGGUAGAGCAUGGUGUUUGCAACGCCAGGGUUAUGGGUUCGAUUCCCACGGGGGGC